rnacentral:rRNA from 1 species
AUUGAACGCUGGCGGCGUGCUUAACACAUGCAAGUCGAUCGGUAACGCGGGGGCAACCCUGGCGACGAGAGGCGGACGGGUGAGGAACGCUUGGGAAUCUGCCUAUCAGCGGGGGACAACCCGGGGAAACCCGGGCUAAUACCGCAUACGCUCUACGGAGGAAAGCCGGGGACCGCAAGGCCUGGCACUGAUAGAUGAGCCCAAGUCGGAUUAGCUAGUUGGCGGGGUAACGGCCCACCAAGGCGACGAUCCGUAGCUGGUCUGAGAGGACGAUCAGCCACACUGGGACUGAGACACGGCCCAGACUGCUACGGGAGGCAGCAGUGGGGAAUAUUGGACCAUGGGGGAAACCCUGAUCCAGCGACGCCGCGUGGGUGAAGAAGGCCUGCGGGUUGUAAAGCCCUUUCGGUAGGGACGAAAGCUCUCGACCUAACACGUCGGGAGGUUGACUUAACCUACAAAAGAAGCACCGGCUAACUCUGUGCCAGCAGCCGCCGUAACAC